ACCAAACUAAAUAAUCAAACAGCCUUCUCUCUCUAAAUCGAAAAACAUCGAAAUCCAUUGGUUUGAAGCUUUCGCCACCUCCACUGCUACCACGUGUCCUUUCCCUUUGAUUGACGUGGUGGUAGAGCCGAAAGGGUCCAAUAGGAGGUUGUUUCAACCUCUGUAGAAGAGGAACGCGAUGAACCGCUGGUUUCCUUCGACCCGGUGGGUAUAGGUUCGUUCAACCAUCAGACCCGAAAACCUUGGAGAAAUCUCCAAAUUCGGAGUCCCAAUGAACCUCCAGAUUUCAAAUCAUCUCUGAAAAGUUCUCGGCUGAGCAAAGACCACUUCAAGCGGAUUCCGAGACUCGACGACGAUAAUUGCCUCAGUUCGCUGUCACGGAGAAGAGAAACAGCAGUGUCAUUCGCUUGUGUCUAGCAGCCUCGUUCGCGUCCACGUCCAUGUCCUUUUCCCUCUCUUCAUACUUUUAUCUUUCUUUUUUUUAUACAUACGAUUUGACUAACAAUUGUACCAAUUUGGUAUUUGUAUUUACGCUUUGCUUAAUUUGUGUUUGGGUUUGCGUAAACAGAUUGUUACGUGAUAGUGAACACUCAUUGAUUUCCCUCCCUCUUUAGAUACUAGCCUUGAUUUAGAGUAAAAGGUGUUUUAUUAAUCA